AAAGAUGCAUGGGUCGUAUGUAGGAUGUGGCGACCGGUUUCCCAUAGACGCUCUCCACGUCAGACAGAAGGCUCAUGGUGCUACAUAUUCUGUUUGGUUGCCGUGACAGUUUCGACCUUUAGGUUUCGACCUUUGGGGUAAGAAGUCACUUUAGAAGAAGAAUACAUAUUAUUUGAUUUGGAAGACGUUAAGAAGAAGAAAACCUGUACAAUCCAGCAACAGAAAAAGUCUGGUGGAAAAAAAAACCUGGUGGAGAUAUUCGAAAAAUUGGGUAAAUACAUUUUGUUUGGAAAAUUAAAUGUGUUAAAUUUGUUUAAAGACCAAAUAAUAUUAAUUUAAAGUUAAAAUCUGAUUAGAAACUAAGUAUUUAAAAUUUAACUGUAUAGAGAAUAAAUUACAGUCAUUCAUAAGUUUAGAUUGAUAGGUUUAUUAAACAAUAUAAUAUCACUGGUUAGGUGUGUAUAUUGCCAGGUUAACAUGACCUGUAGUAAAUUUGAGUAAUAAAAUUAAAGUUAAAGAGAAAGUUUAGGGAGUAGGUUUUAAAAAAAAAUGUUUUGAUAUAACUAAGGAAUAAUAAGGAAACGGAAUAGGGAAUAAAAUAAGGAACUAAUGUUGUCUCCGGAUCGCAGUGAGAACGACGGCAGAGCUAAGGAUGAAUUUGUGAGUGAUUAACUCUAGUUUUCUAGUUGGCCGUGGUUUUUACUGUGAUUCGUUAAUUUGUGUUUUUUGUUGUUUCGUAUACUAUAUAAUUUUGAGGCCCUUAGUCCAGGCCUUAGAGUUGUUGUAAUUUAACUUUUGAUUAAAAAGUUAGGUUAUGUUGAAAAUCCCAUAUGGUUAAUCUAGGGAUGUUGGUUAUAGUUUUCCUGGGGAAAAAACUAAAAUUAUUGGCUCGUUAAAUUGUGAGAUUAUCGCAAAGUCAUCAAUACGAGUUUAAUAGGAGGUUAAGUUAAGAAUAUGACACUUUUUAGAAAAGUGGAGUAUACGGUAAAUUUUGUCCGUAUAUAAUUUUAUGUAAUUAAAUUUUUGCUUAGAAACGUAAUAUUAACGUUUAAUAUAUACUGCUAAUUGCUUUAAGCUGUCGACACGAGAGGAUUAGAAUGUGUAAUUUGACAUGAGGUCGAAUUAUUAUAAACAAUAGGUUCUAACACUGUGUUAAAUUUGAUGUGUGUAAAAGUCGCGUGACUUCAGUGGUUAGUGAAUGAAAUUAUAUGUGUGAUUAAAAGCUAGGUGUAUAUUCUGAUUGUCAUGAUUAUAUAAAUAUGGACUGUGUUCUGAUUGAAUGGAGCGUACGGCCAUUUUCUCUCAACAUAGUUGUAGAUAAAUUAAAUAAAAUGGGCUUUAACGUCCUACUGUAGGAUAAAAUGGGAUGUCAUUCAGAUAGUGGCCAUAUCUGUGUGUCAUCCUGGCUAAUGUAAUAAUAGAGGGAAUGUUUAUGUAAUAGUGGAUAGUGUUUAUAAAAAAAACAAAUACAAAAUUGUAAAUGAUUAGGUCAAAAAGGUCACAUUACUGACGGUGAAAUAUAAAAUAACAGUGUAGGAAUUCUAAAACACAAACGGAAAUUAUAAAACAUAAACGUAAUUCUAAAAUUGUCCAUUACUCAGUUCAGUUCAAGAGGUCAAACUUAGUUUGAAAAUUUCUAAUUAAAGGGACACAUCAAAGUUUAUUAAUACUUAAAUAAAGUUUAAUUUUCAUUACAGUAAGAUUUGCUAAUACGUUUUCGAAAUACUAUAUUAAUAAUAAUGUUAGACUAAUAGCAACAUAAAGUUUUAAAAAAAAAAUAGUAAUAGUUAGUUCUUGGUCUGAUGGCAAUGACAUGUUUGAUUGACGGAUAAAAUUGUACAAACCAAUCAUACUUAGAAGAAAAAGAAAGAAUGUUUCAACUUGACACUAUGGUAGCUGAAACAAACCAAUACACAUCCAAGAAGAAGAAAUGGUUUACCAGUUUACCAAAUUGACAUUUCCUGAGACAGAAUUUAAAGUGAAACCUGAACUUUAUAAAUAUUACGUGAUGUGUUAUAGUGUUUUGAAAUUAGGACACUUGAAGAUUUAAAAAAGACAAUUUGUGUUUUCUGUGUUUAGGCUUAGUGAAUUUUCAUAGGAUUUUACAGUGAUGAACUUUUUGGAGAACUUUGGCAUGCAACUUUUGAUUUUUGAUUUUUGAUUAUGUGUGUCUGUGUUUUCACAGUUUUGUUAUAUAGUAUAGUAUCAUUGAUAUUUGCCUGUUGCAUGAAUAAUUAUAGGGUUUAGCACAUAGAAGUUUUUAAGAGUCUCCUACCUGUUCAUUUAGCAUAAAUCUUGCAAGUGGGGGAGGUGAUAUAUGUUGAUUUUCUAGAUUUCUGCUACAUUUAUGAAUAGUUAUAUAAUUCUACAGGUGUUGGUAUGGUUAUUGUAAAGGAUUCAAGGGAACCCUGUAAGUCAGACUUGCAUUAGAUUCCAGAGAUCGAGGGUACAUCUGAGUUCCUAGACAGCUGAGAGGCUGGAUAGGGUGGAGAAGUGGUUUUAGCUAUAUAUUAUUGUAAUUUGUGCUAUGCUUGUAUACCUGUAUUCAGUUAUAUGCUAUAAAAAAUGUAGAAGCGAA